CCUAGACAUAUUAGUCUAACAUUCUAUGAAACCCUAAGUUAAUCUGACCAGGGGUUAUGGAGAAACGCUGCGGACAAGUUCAUUUUUAAUGUGGCGGAAGAAAAAGAAAAAGAAAAAGAAGAAGAAUAAUAAAAAUAAUAAGAACUGAGCAAAAACAAUAAGUCUCCAAACUUUGUUUGGGAGACUUAAUUAUGAACAUAUCA
rnacentral:lncRNA from 1 species